rnacentral:lncRNA from 1 species
CUCAAGGACUAAAGGCAGCAACUUAAGUAAGAUUUUGUGCGGACUAACGAGGUUACUUAAGAAAUAUAUUUUCUAUAUUUUUGAUGAUUUCAAUUCAUCAUAAAAAUGAAUACUUUAAAAUUUAAUUUUUAUUAUUGUAAUAUUUUUUAGUAAUUUAUAUUAUUUUUUAAAUGCUCCACCUCUAACUUUCACAUCCGAAAUGUUCUAGCUCCGUGUGUCGCA